rnacentral:sRNA from 1 species
ACAACAACCCUAAAUCCUUAUCUCUAUCCUUGCGCUUGAUCCAGAUUCGGUUCUGAUUGGAGCUGCCAUGGAACGCAUCAUCGGCGGCAAGUACAAGCUCGGACGGAAGAUCGGCGGUGGUUCGUUCGGAGAGAUUUUUC